GGUCAAAAAAAACCUUGGGAUUGCUAAAUUAAAGAUGAAAUAAAUAAAAAGAUAUAAAGCAAUAGAACCAUCAUAGUGUUUUUGACUUCUAUCAAAGGAAGGGUGGUAAAUGGAUCAUUCAAUGAUCUGGAUCAAAUGGAUUUUAUUUUUCUCGAGUACCUUUGUCCCGUUCUUUCCAAACGGAGGGGAAAAGGUCAAUUCCAUUGUGCAGCCAUAUGCAAUGUACAAAAGAUGCAUAUAUGGUUGUUCAAUUCUAUCUUUUUAUUAUUUGUUAUUUUUCCUUACAUUCAACCAAUCAUGUAAGAUAGACAAGCCAUUUAUGAUUGAUGUUAUAUAAUCCAAGUUAUGAUUCACCAACCUACUAGUUCUUUUUAUGAGGCACAAGCAGGGGAAUUCAUCUUGGAAGCAAAAGAGCUUCUGAAACUUUACAAAACCCUCAUAAGGGUUUAUGUGCAAAGAACCAGUAACCCCUUAUGGAUUGUAUCUGAAGACAUGGAAAAAGAUGUUUUUAUGUCAGCAAUGGAAGCCCAAGCUUAUGGCAUUAUUAAUCUUGUGGCAGUCAAAAAUACGUAGGAUUUCACAUAAAUCCAUGAUUACAUUUCAAACAAAGGGUUAUUUGAAUUUUCCGUAAGUUGACAUUAAAUAUUUUUUAUUUUAUCCAAUUAAAAUAUUUAUUCAAUUGAAGGGAAAUAAUCCAUAAUUAUCNNNNNNNNNNNNNNNNNNNNACUUUAAACUUUAAAUUAUAUAAAAAAAUUAUAAAUUAUGAAAUAAUAAAAUUUAUAUACAAUGUAUCAUAUAAUGAAAUAAUGGAAAAUUUAUUAAUCUAAUAAAUUAAUUAAAUCAAUAUUUCACGGGCAAAUAGUGACUCUUUUCUGCUUUAUUUGCAGGGUAAACCCAUAACUAUUUUAGAAAAUUUUAAUUGGUUCCUAGUCUGUUCUGCCAUCCCACCCAAUGAAUCAUUAGGAUUCAUUUUCAAUAGAAUCCUUUGUGGUCAUGGGUUUUGCUAUUUCCAAAGCUUCUCUAUUAAUGAUUAGGCUUGAACUCGACAAUGGAGCUCUUGACAAAAUUUGUUUCAGAGUCAAUCUCCUUAGUUUUUAUUAACCUAGGGCUCUUUACUUGUUUUAGUAUUGAUGCUUUAUCACACUGUCUUUUAUAAUAUAAAAUUUUUCAUAAACCAUACAAAUUGGAAUAGCAUAUCAUUAAUAUUUUGUUCUUUCUAUCUAUCAUCCUUCAAUUUAUCUAUACAUCCCCUUCCUUUUUAUUUUAUUCAAAUCUGUAAUCCAUUAAUUUCUAUGGAAAAAUUUGCAAUUGCUAAAACUAUAUAAUCAAUACCUCAUAUAGUGACUGUUCGAGGGAUCUAGACAAUAGGAAGCCAUAAGUUGGUUAGUUGUUUCUAUAGUUAUGAGUUUUUAUAGUUACUAGUUCAUAGUAAGAGUCAGUCUUUAUCCUAACUCUAAAGAAAAACUAAGACAACGAGUCACACACUAAGCAUAACAAUUCGACUAAAAAGGUAAAUCAAAUUUUUAUUUAUCCCUAUAGAAUUAAGUUGAUGUUUGAUUGAGUCAAAAAAGUAAAAUUAAACACUUUGUUAUUUUUUAUUCUAUUACUCGAUAGAAUGGUAAGACAACUAAAGAUCUAUUAUUUCCCAUCUACAAAUAUCCAAAUUUUUAUACCUAAUACUCCAUAGAGAGUUUGAACUAUAUAGGAACAAUAGACAAUUUUAUCUCAAAUGGUUUGUAGAGGAACCCUUCUCUAAUCCACUCGACAUGUGUAAUUUCUUUUUCGUUGAUACGUCUUGCAAUUUGCACUUGAAUUCCUUUUGUAUUUGUUUGUUCAGUUAAUUUAAUAGCUUUUUUCACUGCUUUUCAAAAUGAAACUCUAUUUUUUAAUUUUAAAGCUAUGUAUUCUACUAGAAUAUUAUGUUGUCAAUAAGGUUUUUCAACUCUUGUGAUAGUAAUAUUAAGUCGUCAGUUGACAGAAUUCAACUCUUUUUAUACAUUCACUUGUAAUUCUUCAAUUCUUUGUCUUAGACCCUCUAUUAAUAAAUUAGGAAAUCCAAUAUGAAUUACUACUUAAAUAAGAUCAAUUCCUUUUUGUAUUUUUAUACGUGCAAUUUCUUCAAAACUCGAGGAUAUUCUCAUAUUUUUUGUACAUAAUUCUUCAUAUAGUCCCAUAUUUUUUUCAUCUUCUUGGAGACCAAUAGAAAAACUCUCUUUUUUCCAAUCUAGUUACUCCACCACCGUGAACUCCAGUUAGAUUUGGUUAUGAUAUACUUUUGAUUUAUUGGGAGAACCUAAGUACUCUCAUGUGGAUCCAUAAAACAACUCUUAGAAAUAUUUUUCCCUUUUGCAAGAUAUAGGAGGGAAACAAUCAACCGAUUGAUAUUGGAAGACCAAAAAGAUUCUUCCAAUGCCUCAUUUCUAGGCCCAAUAGAAUUCAUAUGUAUAGGAAGAAGGCCCAUGAAAUAGAUAUUUUUUCUUUUGACCAUUUUUCAAUUAUUAAUAUGAGAUAUAAGGACUACUACUACAAACAAUACUACACCUUUGAUCGUGAAAUAUCGAUUGUUUGUUGAAUCCUAUGAAUCACAUGAAAGUAGGAUACUCAAAAUUCGGGGGUCAAAGAGUUUCAUAAAAUGUUCUUGGUGGAAAAAAAUGUGAGUGAAAGAUCCCACUGAAUCAAAUUUGAUCCAUGAAUCUAAGAAAUAGUGAGAAUUCUUGAUCUCUCUCAAUACCUCUUUGAAUUCAAAGAUCCAAAAUUUGAAUUGAUGUCAUUUCAUUGAUACCUCCUAAAGAUUUCAUUUCAAUUGGAAUUUAGUUAUUCAUGAUGUAUGAUGAUCCAUGUUAAGCAUCCAUGGCUGAAUGGUUAAAGCACCCAACUCAUAAUUGGCAAAUUCAUAGGUUAAAUUCUUGUUGGAUGCACGUCAAUGAGAUCGUUCAAUUUAAUAAGUCUAUUGGAAUUGGCUUUAUAUUAAUAGAAUCUCAUCAUCCAUACAUAACAAAUUGGUAUGGUAUAUUUAUAUCAUAACAUAUGAACAAUAAGAACUAGAAUUCUUAUUGAUAUUGGAAACUCAUAGGGAAGAAAAUGGAUUUAUGGAUGGAAUCAAAUGUGUAGUAUUUACAAAAAAAUGUAUUCGUAUUGGGGAACAAUCAAUAUACUUCUAAUGUCUAAUCAAGAUCAACUAGGAUAAAAAUAAAGCAUUGGGUCAAACUCUUCUUUGGUGUCAAGUUAAUAGCUAUGAAUAGUCAUUGACUCUCAAGAAAGGGUGGAAAAAGGGGACCUAUUAUCAAACAUACAAUGCAGUAUAGAUGCAUGAUCAUUACGCUUCAACCGGGUUAUUUUAUUCCACCUCUUAUAGAAAAAAAACUUAAAGGAAAAUACUUAAUAACACGACGAUACAUUUAUAUAAACGUUCUACCCCGAGCACAUGCAACGGAACCGUAGAUAGAAAAGUGAAAUCCAAUCUAUGAAAUAAUUUGAUCUAUGGACAGUAUCAUUGUGGUAAGGGUCAUAAUGUUAGAGGAAUCGUUACUGCAGGACAUAGAGGGGGAGGUUAUAAGUGUCUUUUAUGUUCCUCAGGGUCAUCACUCCUACGAGAAUAAAAGGGUCCGUAGAGCAAAUUUUGUUCGUGCCUUCUGGGGAUGAAUAUGAUAGCGUCUCCAUGGCUCGCAGGGUCUUCUCGCCCAAUGCUCAAGGUUCCCAUCCUUCCCCCCUGCAAUUCUGCGCAAGUUUAUUACGUCAGCUGCCUCCAAACUUGCGUUUUAGCCGGUCUUGUAGGGAGCUCAAGUCGGAAGGCGUGCACUUGACCGGCCAUUUUAUCUUCCUCCGUGAUCUUCUCUUGGCAACGAUCAUUUCCAUUCGGCUAGAUCGCCACCUUCGUCCCUUCGGCAGCGGGCAGGAAGGACUCUCCUGUCCAUGGGUUGGAGGGAAAGAGAGGGUUGACGACAACAGACGCGGAGAGAGACGACCAGACGAGAGAAACGACGAGCCCUUAACCUCCUCAACUUGUCUUCUCCAUUGUCUCUCAAUUUUGAUGAUCAUCAGCCAUCGCAGCCGCCGUUGAAUGAUGAACAGAGACUUCACCGCGUCCGAGGUACGCGCCCUUCAUCCUUAGAUCAUCAAGAUAACGAUCGUUCGCCAUUCUCUCUCUUUCUUCUCUCUUUUCUCGUCGGUGAAAUCAUCUUCUCCUCUCCGAAAGGGAUUCAUCGGCAGGCCAAGACGCCUCAAGAGAAGAGAGAUCAUACGCUGUUCUUCUUAAUUUAUUUACUUUUAUCCUAUCCAAAGUCCUCCCUUCGUGCCCCUUCGUUAAAAACGUUGUCCGAUCCGUUCUCAGGUCAAAAAACCUCAAGAUCAGAUCGAAAAGGAAGCCAAGACGUCGUCAGAGGGGCAGGCAUGCGAUGCAAGCAGGAAGAAAUCCGGAGGCGGAACGGCGGCCAAGUCUUCCAGUCUGAGAAGGAAGAUGGAGGGCCUCACCAUUACGAGCACACCCAUCACGAGAAUCGCAGGCCUCCCGAGCCCUGCUGGCCUUCCGAGCCCCGCAAGCAUUCCGAGCCCCGCAGGCCUCGCCGGCUCACCCUCCCCGACGGAGCCCGCGACGAUGCCCGGCGGCGGAACGGCGGCGGCGGUGAGGCGGCACACGGGGGGAGACGGGAGGUGGGAGGCAAUCAGGGAGACGAGCGAGAGAGAGUCACCGCUAGGACUCAGCAACUUCCGUUUGCUGAAGAGGCUCGGCUAUGGAGACAUUGGGAGCGUGUACCUGGUGGAGCUGAGGGGAACGGGGGGCGCCUUCUUCGCCAUGAAGGUGAUGGACAAGGCCUCCCUGGCCAGCAGAAACAAGCUGAUCAGGGCGAAGACGGAGAGGGAGAUCUUGGGGCUGCUGGACCAUCCGUUCCUGCCCACCCUCUACUCCCACUUCGAGACCGACAAGUUCUACUGCCUCGUCAUGGAGUACUGCUGCGGCGGCAACCUGCACUCCCUCCGGCAGCGGCAGCCCAACAAGCACUUCUCCGAGAAGGCUGCCCGGUGAGAGUCAAAUCGGUAAUCUUAAUAAGAGAGGCGAAAACUCUGGUUAAUCGAUCCGCGAGUUGUUUUGCUUUUUUUUCUUUCUUUUUUGGGCUGAACUGCUCGAUCCGCUCACUCUGCUGCCUGCCCUUCUGUGAAUGAACAACGAAAUGGCCAGAACUUCAUCUAGAACGCCAAGAUUAUUCACAAGGAGUACCCAUUUCGCAUCGUCUUCUUCGUUUUUACGCCGUUUCGUAGGUUUUAUUCAUUCGAUCAUCAUCCGGCAUGUUCGUAGCUUUUUUUAUGCAUGCACGAGCGAAUCCCAGGAUUCAAAUGGGCAGACAGACUCCUCCUCCAGUGCAAUAUUGUUGAAUGCAGAUGUCAUCUUGUUUUCUCAAGACCUUUGCUGAUCUGACCACGCGUUGGGAUAAUCACUCUCACUGUUCAGCACCCUUUUAGGGGAUCUGGGAUACCUCUCAUAAUUUCCAGUUGGUCGGUUUGAAUAUCCUUUCUCUCACCCAUACGCAUGCAUGCAUGCAUGCAUGCAUUGCACUGCACCUUCUCCGGCAGGUUCUACGCUUCGGAAGUCCUCCUGGCCCUGGAGUACCUCCACAUGCUGGGCAUCAUCUACAGGGACCUGAAACCUGAGAACGUCCUCGUCCGGGAGGAGGGCCACAUCAUGCUCUCCGACUUCGACCUCUCCCUCCGCUGCACCGUCAGCCCAACCCUCGUCAGGUCCGGCGGCGGCGCUGCGCACGCCGCCGGCGGCGGCCUCUUCCUCGACGGCGAGAGCCACCACCCGCUCCAGGGCUGCAUCCACCCGGCGGCCCUCCUCCCCCGCUUCCUCCCGAAGAAGAACCGCAAGUCCAAAUCCGACUUCGGCCUCGGCGGCGCCGCCGGCACCCUGCCGGAGCUGAUGGCGGAGCCCACCGGCGCACGGUCCAUGUCCUUCGUGGGCACCCACGAGUACCUGGCGCCGGAGAUAAUCCGCGGGGAGGGCCACGGCAGCGCCGUGGACUGGUGGACGCUGGGGAUCUUCCUGUACGAGCUGCUGCACGGGGUGACGCCGUUCAAGGGCUCGGGAAACAGGGCGACGCUGUUCAACGUGGUGGGGCAGCCGCUGAGGUUCCCUGAGGUGCCGGCGGUGAGCGCCGCCGCGAGGGACCUGAUAAAGGGUCUGCUGGUGAAGGACCCACAGAGAAGGAUCGCCUACCGGCGGGGGGCCACGGAGAUCAAGCAGCACCCUUUCUUCGAGGGGGUCAACUGGGCGCUCGUCAGGAGCGCCCUUCCUCCGCACAUCCCCGAGCCCGUUGACUUCACCCAGUUCGUCAGCAAGGAGCCGCCGCCGCCGCCGCCGCCCCUACCGGAGAAGAAUGGCCUUGACGCUGGAGGCGGCGGCGGCGGCGGCGGCGGAGAGGAGAGCAACGGAGGUGCAGGGGACAAGAGCGACCACCGUGAUCUCGAUUUUGAGUAUUUCUAGGCGGGGGUGGCCCAUGGAUUUAGUCUAGAGAGAGAGAGGGAGAGAGAGAUUGAAAUCAGUUGAUGUCUAAAAACUGCCCCCAAGAAGUGGUGGUACAUUAAUAUUCUGCUCCAUUUCGAGUCUUUCUAAGCGGGCGUGGCUCAUGGGUUUAGCGAGAGAGAGAGAGAGAGAGAGAGAGAGAGAGAGAGAGAGAGACUAGAAUCACUNNNNNNNNNNNNNNNNNNNNNNNNNNNNNNNNNNNNNNNNNNNNNNNNNNNNNNNNNNNNNNNNNNNNNNNNNNNNNNNNNNNNNNNNNNNNNNNNNNNNNNNNNNNNNNNNNNNNNNNNNNNNNNNNNNNNNNNNNNNNNNNNNNNNNNNNNNNNNNNNNNNNNNNNNNNNNNNNNNNNNNNNNNNNNNNNNNNNNNNNNNNNNNNNNNNNNNNNNNNNNNNNNNNNNNNNNNNNNNNNNNNNNNNNNNNNNNNNNNNNNNNNNNNNNNNNNNNNNNNNNNNNNNNNNNNNNNNNNNNNNNNNNNNNNNNNNNNNNNNNNNNNNNNNNNNNNNNNNNNNNNNNNNNNNNNNNNNNNNNNNNNNNNNNNNNNNNNCUUUGAGAUCCUUCACUUGCGUUUAAAACUCCCUCACAAAUCGCUGGUACAUAAAUUAUUCUGCUCUCCGAGGGUAGAUCCCACUGAAAGUUUUCCAUUCCUCGGCCGCCCUCAGCGGUGGUGACAACUCGCCACUAGCUUUCCCCAUGCAGAAAUGAAGACCCAGGAACCUUCGCCGGCGGCGGCGAUCCAGCUCCCUUCCUGUACAGAGGAUCUGCACAAACCUGGCAUGAAUCCAUGCUCAACCCGGCCUCCGUCGCUCCUCUCUGCCCCAUGCCUGGUCAGAUCGAUCCCUCUUUACUUAUUCGGCGCUGGGCUGGAUCUUGAGACCGCAAACCGCGGCAGCGGGCUGAGGCCUCCUCGGCUGCCGCCGGCGGCGCCGUCGACAAACUUAACUUUCCGGGCCGCGCCGCCGUCCGGAGGACCCCCCGGCCGCCGGUGCUGCCGCUCUUCGGCCCUGCGGGCGGCGCCGUCGACAUCAUACAGAAUGGUUGCUUCUCUUCGGUAGCCCUGCGCGGCGGGGUGGCCCGGAUCGCGAGAGCUGCUGGACUGGGGAGGAUCGCUGUGGUUGUGCCUGGGCCUGGGGGAGCUAUGGGAGAGCGAGAUGUGCGGGGACUGCCGCGGCGACGGGCAGAGGAUGUCGAGGGGUGCCGGCGGCGAGCUUCCGCAGUGCUGGUGGUAUAUCGAGCGCAGCAGCGUGUAGGGGAGAUGGAGCUCCAGGGCGCUCCUCGGGAGGUAGGGGGAAAUAUGGCAGAGAUGGUCCAGGAAGGUGAGCUUCGGAACAAGAUGAGCCCUGCAGGAGGGUACCAAGCCAUGAGAUUAUGCAUACAUUCAUAUCUAUGGAAAUUAAAUAUGAUGAUCCUGUGGGCAGUGGCCCAUCGAAGAGCUGCAGGGACCCAUCGAAGAGCUGCAACCAGAUGGUUGAAGCAUUCAGAGCUGAAUCUUUGGCACCAGACACUGAGCAGCCCCACUACUAUGAAAAUCCACAGUCGAAAACAGGAAUGUCUGACAGAGCGCCGGAAAAUUGAUCAAAUAUAGCGAAAGAAAGAGGAAAUAUAUCCUCUCUUUAAUGAAAGAUUUAGAUUUAUCUCAUGAUGCUACCGGAGCUGUAGUGGAUAUAUGCAAUCAGAUUUCAUUUGGCGGCUGCAGUACCUGUUGCUCUCACUGAAUGAACUGAGAAUGAUCCCUGCAGAGUAUUUCACAUACAGCUGCAUUGUAGACUUUAUAUUUGCCUGAACAGAUGUUCGAGUAAGCGUUUCGGGCUCCAUCUCACUGCCAUGUCCAUUGGGUAGAGAUUGCCGCUGCAGUUCACUCUUUUCUGACCGUAUGAACUCGCUUGCGGCGAUGACAGCACUGAUGCACCUGCAGAAACUGGAGUCAGCUCCCAAUGCUCUGUACCACAUCAAUGGGGAUAAUCCCAUACCGACAUGGUCCCAAAAUAUUUAUAUAAGUCUCCACUACAUUAGCCGCAUCUUUGGAUGGGCCCACCAAAGAUCUGAGGCCUGACCAGAAUUCUCGGUUUAACGGAUGAAACAUUGAAUCCCAAGGAAAAGUGUAUUUUUAUAUCUUGAUCUUGACAGAUGGGGUGUUCAGAUGAGGAAAAAUGAUAAAUAAGGUAAAAUAACCCCAUAGGAAGAGUACCUGAGUCUGGAUUCCUUCAAGCCUACUUUCAGAUGGGCACAUAUGAAUCAUAUUUUGCCUUUGGAAAGAAAGUCCAUGCGGCGUGACGGAACGAUGUGGGUAUGCAUAUAAAGACCUCAUGAAGACACUAGCAUGACUUUAAUUGGAAGCUGAGCGAAUAAAAAAAAAUGGUAUUUCACGGAGAAAAGCUUCCAAUUAGUGAAAGGAUUAUUCCCAAUAACCAAGAUACAUAACCGCAAAUGGGCAUGCGUUGAAAUGCAAAAACUCAUUUUUAGAACAUAAACAUAAUAGAAGGUAGUCCACUAUCCAUCUAAUUUUGAGAACCGAUGGAAAAAUAAAGUCAGCUCACCUCGCUAAGCACUGAACAUUGCUAUUAAAGCCCCCAAUAUUCGCAUCAAAAGAGGUCGUGUUCCAAACACUUGAUACCAUGAAUGAAGCACACAGAUAGGGAAGCAAACUCCACGAACCAUUAUCAAAAGAUCCCCUUUCCGCCAUGAUGGAAUGCACCCAUUCCGUGUCAAGUUCACCCGUCUUUCCAGCGUCGUUUGCAACCGUCCUCAGCCUUCUUAUUUCAUCCUUCUCAGGUAUCUCAUCGGGCAGCUGACUCUUCACCGAAGAAACUAAUGUGACAACAAGAGGUGCAUUCUCUUCCAGGACGGCUCCAGCAGAUUCCACCAGAAGCCUGUGGAAUGCUAUCGCUUGACCUGCCUGGAUACAGAAACCAACCACGCUCUCCAUCUCCACUAUCUGUUUGAUCCUAUCAAGAGAGCUUGUGCUCCCUGCAAAUGCCUCAAGCACCUCAGAGUUGGAUAGCAGUGUUGCCUCGAUGCAACUCAAAAGGGCAGCCAUAUGCUCUCUCAUCAUCCUGUCAAGCUUGUCAAAUCCAUACCCACCAAAGACACGAAACAAGGACUUCAGUUCUUCUGCGCUGGUGAACGAGUCAGCAAAAUAUCCCCCAAUGAGUUGGGAACUCUUAAAGCAGUUAUGCAGCGGAGAAAAUAUAACUUCAGCGCUCGAGACAUCCUUGACAAUAUGAUCGAUGUACCAGUUGCCCACAAUCUCUAUAGCCGAUCCAGCAGGCUGGCUUGGGGACUUCUCAAAUGUCUGCAAGGAAUGAACAGGGCCAGAGAAGGCCUCUGACAACAAAAUUUCACGGAUUCCGGUUGUUAAGUCCAUGCUUAUGUGCUGUUCGGCCAGAUGGAUGAUGCUGAUAUGUCUUCGUAUUAAAGAUUCGAUGACUGAGGGGCGCUGCAAUCCAUUAUCUGUUCUCAGGACUGAAAGAAGCCUCCUUCUGAAGUUUCCAAGAAUGCAUUCUCUCAUGUACUGAAGAGAAGAUGAAAAUAGAUCAUAACCAUGGUGUGAUACUGAUUUUGACAUAUCCACAACCAACUACGGCAGUCUUCUGGUAAAAUAUUAAAAGAGAGAAAUUUCGACAAAGAUCAGGUGAAUACUACUCCUUGCAUUUUAGGGGCAUUUUGCCAGCCGAGGUUUCAACGGACACAGUUUUAAUAACUGAUAUAGAAUAUAUAGACAUAAUUUCGAAUAAAUAUAGAGAAAGUAUAGCUACCUUGGAAGCCUUUCCUAAAGAUGUCAUAAGAAUAAAAGAUUGCAUCAAUUACUAGUGAGCAUAGUUUCCUCUCGAUAAGGCUUCUUUUCUUCAAGGAUGUCAGCAUCCUCCCGUCUAUGGAAUAUUCCAGAUGUAUCGGCAACUUUAUGUCAGCAUGGAUACCCAGGGCACAAAAUGUUCGGCUCACACAUGCAUAUCGGAUCACAAAGGAGGAACAUAAUUACCCACGGAUGCAAGCUCUAAAAAAAAGCCAACUACUGAUCCAGAAUGAAACGAAAAGAAGAGAGAGUAACACCUCAUCCCUGGCUCAUGCGCCUGUGUUCUCCACAAGCUAAUAUAACACCCUCCCAGUCGUCCAAAACCGUCAAAAAACUUGUCCACAAUGAAGUCGAGGGCCAAAAGCCCAUUAAAUUUCAUCGGAGAGCUUCUACUACGAGAAAGAGAUAUUUGAAUGACUAUGCCACGGUAGAUUUUCCUAAGAUCAUGAACACGAGUUCAAACUAUAUGGGAAAGCAGUUUUCAUAUACAGUUGAUUUCACCCACGUGAUCAAACGGGCAUUCAGUCACAUAGCAUAAACUAAGUAGGAUUAGCGAGGCAUGUGAUGGGAGUUUGAAGAAACGAUUCAUAACUAAUAAGAUUCAUGUGAAAAUUAAAAGAAACAAGAAUUAAACAACAAUGAAAGAGUUAAGGAAUUUUGUACAUUGCAAUAAUGAAAGAGUUUACAAACAUGUUGACAAAUGUUGCGAGUGAUAAAUCCAAGACAAUCACUCAAUUACCUUUACAAGUAGACUUUCUAGAUAUGAAUAAGAUGGAACUAGAGUUAAAAUAUUCUCAUAAGUACAUCAAAUGCAUGGUCUCUUAAGACAAUCAAGUCAAAGGACGACUGCUACUCAUUCAAGAGACCUCAAGCAGAAAUUUCACCACUCAGGCUCCUAGAAACUGAACGGGGGUAUAUAGGCGACAAGAGCAAAAAAUAACUAAAAAUACACAUCUUCCAGAUGUAGUGUUAUGUAAAUUUCAUGGUUUGCUAAAAUAUUUGGAUGGAUAUGAAGAAUAUAUUUAUGAUGAAAUCGCUAUUAUGAUUUAGUGCCUCAUAGGCUAAAUAAAAAUACUAAUUAAUAAUACAUUUCACUCUUUUUAUCUGCCUCAUACUUUAAAUUUCAUUUUAAUCAUUGGUUGCACACAAUUGAUAGAACAACCUACUUUGUGUAAACAAAAAAACUUGAUGAAUAAAAACAGAGGCUGGACCCAUCUGCAUCAGCCUUGUGCAACUCAGACAUGAGACUAGUUAUGUGACUUGAUUUUCAAGAAUCCCAGUCAGUAGCCAAUUCAAACUAGAAUAGAUGUCAUGUAAGCCGAGGCUAUGAAAGUUGUUUAAGAUGAUUUGGGCAUAGGGAAAUAAGGCUGGAAUUAGCACUUUUUAAGAGAUUCAGUUUUUUCAUGAUACUAAGAGAUGAAAAGGAAUAUCCAGUGAAACAUGGAUUAAAGCAACAAAGAAAAAGGCAGAGUUAGGCAUGUAGAAUAUGAGCAGAUAGGGGAAAUGAGAUUGGCACACCAAUGUAAAUUAGUUGGAAUUUUGGUAGAUGAUAUUGAGGAUCAUGGUAAUGAUAAUGAUAAGAGACAAAUUGAGGCCUAAGGAUACAGAGAGAAGGUCAUAGGUUAAUAAUUUCGCAGUGUUUAUCAGGGCUUCGGUUUAAGGAACAUAUGUAGACCAGGAAAGGGCAAGAACAGAAAAUAAUAUCUAAUGGGUUUGCAUUUAUUUCUGAAAUAUGCGGUACAUUAGUAACCAUAUAAUCAGAUUUAUGGAUAUUAUUCUACAACUUUUGAAAAAUAUGAGACAUUCUCCAUGACAACAGCCCCAAAAUAAAAAGCACCCCAUAUUUAACCAUGCCAUCAUUUGACAGUCCCAGGAUAACAUCUUUUCCGAUAAUCUAAACAAAUGUCAGAAACUCUAUGAAACAAAUUUCGAGCAUUGGUAGCUCACCUCUCGCAGGACAAAAACAUGAUUUAGAACACAUAUGGGUUCCAUAUCAUUCAAAACCGAACAUAAAUUUGUCAACCUCUGCAUUGCAGCCUCCAACCUGCCACAGAUCAAACAGCCCUUAACACAAAGCCUGAGAAAAAUCAUCAAUUGCCGCAGGUUUCAGGCUUACAUUUUCACAGAGUUGCUAUUUUCUGGAUAGCUUUCCUGUCCAGGCACUAACAAGCCAGGAAUGAGUUUGGCAGAUUUAAUAGACGAUAUUGGUGUCUUUAUUCCAUGCAGCAUACGAAUAGCGGCUUGAUCAGGUGUUAGCUGGAAUAUAGAAAGAAUGAGCCGACCUCAGGGCACAGUCAACGAGCUGCAUAACAAAGGUUAAGGUAACAGAAAGUACAAGACCUGCAUCUCUAGAGACCCAAAUCCUCCGUCUGCGUCUAAUAUGUUGAUCAACCCUUCCAGACCACCCAUUAUGGAUUCAAUGAGUGACUCAACAUAAGAGACAGAAUCCCGGCCAAUUUUAUUCAGCUGAAGUACAAGAACAACAUUAUUAAGAAAUUCAUCUAGCGUGCUAACAAAUAUUAUAUGCAUAUAACAAAAAUAAAUGAAUAAUCAUGAAAGAAAGUUCCACAAAUACUGUCCCAAGCUACGAGACAUCUGAACCGAGAGCUGUUUGGAAGACAAUGAUGCUCGGAAUCUUCAAGGGGUAUGUAGAAGGAGUUAACUGCAUUAUUGAGGGCGAACAGAAGUAAGAGCAAUCAUCUGCCUCAUCGAAGAAGUCAGCUUAUCAUCAGUGUUUCACGUUAUUCAAAUGAUCAAUGUUAGAAGGGGUUCACCGUCCAAUGGUCAACAAAAGAGAAAUACAAAAGGAAAGCAGGAUCCUCAAGUUGAAUGCCCAGAGGGGAAAAACAGUAUUUUUACUGGGAGCGGACUCUCACCUAUCAUGAAGCAAGUUUAGGUCAUAUGGAAUGCUGACAGAGUUAUAAAAAGAGGAAAAUGGACAGAUCUCUAAUUAACCAACAGAACAUUUAUUUUUAAAAAACUGACAAUAUACGCCUUGUGCCUCAAUAGUCCAAGUCUAAUUGUUUUUGGUAACAUUUCCUCAACAACUCGAGACAAGAUAAAUUUUGAGCUUAAACUAAAACAGCCUUCGUUAUGGAAAUUAGAAUGAGGAAAGGGAUCAGUAUAGCCUCAAAGUCAUCAGCAGGUUAAAGUGAGAAACGAAGCCCCAAAGCAAAAUAACAUUGUAGUUUCAUGCACUCAAAACAAUGAUCCAUACUGCUCUUUCUGGGAUUGUGAACUGAGCAUUCUCCAUCUUUCAAUGUGAAAAUAAGUAACGAUGCACAAGUCCCUUAAUUAUCAGGUUAUAAUCCAAAGCACUGUAAUCCAAUCAGAAGUUAAAUUACGAAACAAAUAACGCGCAUUCCAAUAUACUAGUAUGGAAUCACAAAACUAACAAAACAUGUAUACAUCAAACAGGUCCAGAAGGUUCAAGAAAAGAAAUGUCAUACAAACAGGCGUGCCUACCUCUUCAGGGCUGGUAGAAGAAGCACAGCUGGGGAAACUACUUGCUACUCCAAGCCAUGCACAGCAGUGCUGUGGAUGUCCUUCUGGCCCAAACAUCGUGCUCCUAAAGACCUAAAUUAAACAUUACAAAGUUCAAAUUGCAAAACAUAUUCUUCAUUAAUUAUUUCUCGAAGUAAUGAUUAGCGGGAGCAUCCUCCAUUGGGCAGUUAUAAAACUUCUGCCUGUAGCAUGACAUAUCAUACUGAACGCCAGGACAGAGAAAUCAUUAUCCGAGUACAACAUUAUCUAUCCAUUUAGCCACCCCCUUAAAAAGUAAUGCUCUUAAAAGUGAAUAGAUCCAUGUUUUGAAAGAUGCUUUGAAGGUGGUAUGCCAUGUCUUUUACAUUUAAUAAAAGAAAUAGAUUUCCCCCAUUUUCCACCUCAUUUUCCGAUCUAAAUUUGCAUAGUGAACAUCAAGGAUUCAAGAACUGAGAGACCCUGCAUUGCGCUAUCCUGAAAUAUUCGUGGCAUCCUUAUAACUGUAAAUGUUAGAAAAAAGCCAAGCGUGUCAAAAUAUUUACGCCAUCUUUGAUGUUUUUAUCAGAGCAAUGUUUUCUUUAUUCUAUAAGUAUUAUUUACCUUGUAAUAAAAUUGCAAAUUGAAAAAGGGUAAAGACACUAGACAUUUUGGAGCUGAAUACAAUCAUGGGUGGAGGGAGAUGCAAAUAGAACCGUUUAUGAGCCUUCUGAGAACUUUAGGUAGCACUCUUAAUAGAUGUUUUGAAGACCAGAACACCUGGGUAGGAAAGAUAAUGUGGCUUACCGCACUUAAAUGGGUGUGAUAGAAAUACAGCUUUCCAAGGCUUCCAUGCUUCGAUAGCUGGGAUUCAAGUUCAUCAACACACCUGCCAUGAGUGCAAAAAUAAUCUAUAUUUCAUUUCAAUAAAUCGAGGGAUUGAAUGAAACUUGUUAAUACUUGGUCCACAUCUACUACUUGUACAUCUUGAUACUGAACCGUGGGAGGUAUUAAAUCAUGGGCAAUGUAGGAGUCAAAUAAGCAGAACUGGGGUCAGCUGAACAUCUCCAUACAGAUGAUUAGAAGGGGCAUAUACAAGAUGACUUCUUAUGCCUAAGGUUAAAGAUCUAUCAGCAGAUGCCAGAUGGAUAUACAAACUAUAAAUACCAAAACUAUAGAAGAGCAGUCAGAAAACACUAUAUAUAUCUGCCAAAUAGCCAAACUAACAAAGAGUAAUAANNNNNNNNNNNNNNNNNNNNNNNNNNNNNNNNNNNNNNNNNNNNNNNNNNNNNNNNNNNNNNNNNNNNNNNNNNNNNNNNNNNNNNNNNNNNNNNNNNNNNNNNNNNNNNNNNNNNNNNNNNNNNNNNNNNNNNNNNNNNNNNNNNNNNNNNNNNNNNNNNNNNNNNNNNNNNNNNNNNNNNNNNNNNNNNNNNNNNNNNNNNNNNNNNNNNNNNNNNNNNNNNNNNNNNNNNNNNNNNNNNNNNNNNNNNNNNNNNNNNNNNNNNNNNNNNNNNNNNNNNNNNNNNNNNNNNNNNNNNNNNNNNNGUUCUCAGAUAAAAACCAAAAAGAAAAUCCACGAAGAUUGAAAUAAAUAGGGAACAUGAAUUAGUUCUAGCAUAUAAAAACACAUUAGUUGCAAGAAGAAAAUGUCAUUGAGACACCGUGUCUAAUAACACCGGCUACUACCAGACAGUUGGAAAACUCAAGGGAGAGCAUUGAGAAGACCUCUAAAGAGAUACAUAUCACUCAAUAAAAAUAGACCGAUACCCAAAAAAAUUUUGGUAGGAAUUGAAAUACCAUUUAUGCGAUACCAUGAAAUUUCUUUCAUCUUGUAACCAAAGAAUCUCCCAGAAAAAUAUUGCAGUACAAAGUAUUUUGUAGCAAAAAAAAGUAAAACAUAUUAGAUGAAGGGGACAGCAGUAAGUACUUAAACAUCAUUAAUAUCAAUUGGAAGGGCAUCAAUUGGAUGAUUUUGAACUUCGCCAUCCCUCUGUCAUUGAUCUGAAAACGAAAACAAUGGGAGAAACAAACCUUGACCAGUUAUAGGCAGCAUUUCCCUCGGAUAAUAAACCCUCCUUUCCAGUGGAGACUGUGGCCUUCUCCAAAUGCCGUAUGUUUAUUGAAGACCGAGAUGACGUUACAAUCAUUAAUAUUGACAGCCAGUGCCUUCGUAGAUCCUAAAGACAUUAAUAUACAAUAUCCAACAUAAACGUAAAUAAAAAACUGCAAUAAAUUAUAACACAUUCCUAUUUGUACUAAACAUUUAUACUGAGAGCCUAAUGAGCAGGUUCAGAAAAUUCUUAAAUUCAUUAACUAAUGAUCGACAGUUACUGAAGAACAUUCUUUUUGCGUUUAAUGUUUACAAAACCCACUACGAAACAAUAAUGAAAUAAAAUAAAUAAAUAAACAGAAGAAAAGACACGGUGAGAGUUGUCACAGGCUGCAAAAUUAAUCCAGUAGGAUACUAGCCCAAAAGAGAACACACCUUGCAUAAAAUGUUCUCUAGAAACCUCUACCACAGAUUAAAUAGCAACGGCAAUGAUUCGUCAUAGAUCCUUAAAAUGUGUUCAAUUCUUCAGCAUGGCCAACAAAAACGUAUUCCACUCAAUCUGGUGGAAUAUGCACGACACAUGCCAAAUUCUGCAUGAAGACUUAUCUGAAAGCAUCGCACAAAGCGAAGGGUACUAAACAUAACACUCCCAAAUAGUUCAAUAAUAAUACAUCCAGGAGAAACACACUGGACAGAAUACAGAAUACAUAUUUAUCGUUCUUCUUUAAAGUUCCAUCUCCAAAACCUCAUCUCCAUGCUUUUCAUUCACUGUGACUAGCUAAAUUACUAAUCGCAAUUUCGCAUGCUGAACUAGUUUUCAUUUAUGCAUAAUUAUUUGCAAGUAUCAUCCACCAUAAUCACGCUCUAAAAUACCUCAAUUCGUAUAUUCCUGUUUAUCCUUUCUUCUUCAAGCUACUAAUACGUCUUAUCUACAGACCUGUUUUGUAGGUAUCUAUCCUCAAGAAUUGACGCCUUAACAUUCGGCCAGCUCAGACAACACAGACAUUAAUCACAGAUUACGAGAUUACAAUUUAUUUCUCUGAGCAAGAGCGAAAUAUGGUGAAGCUGAGGACCACCAUGAUUCCCAUUCCCAAAAAUUUGUUGGUCAUAAAUUUUCUCUAGAAAGAGUCACCAGUCCCACUAACCACAGCAAUUUAGCAAAAAGAGCUUGCGAAGAAUAUUUAUUUUACUCAACUUAACACCUAUCUUUUAGUUCUACAAAAUGUCGCAGUACCUUAAGCGGAAUCCUGUCUCCUUAUUUGUGAAAUUCCAUAUAGAAUCAAUUAUAAAAGAUUCCACUUUUUGCAACUUUUGUUGGCGUCUUGGAAAUAGAUAGAAUAUCUCAGCAAACUAGGUACUAAUGUGCUAGAUAGAACCAAUCCACCGCCGGUUAACAAAUGCUUUACAAUCCUCCCGCCCAUUCCUGCACUGCAGAUUUUUACAAAACUUAAAAUAUUGACAUUGAAACGUCGUUGAACUCACCAAAUGAUUGAGUAAAAUCGGAAUAUUCUUUGCAUCAUCAUUUUCAUAUUCUGUAGUGUUAUCUGCACACAAAAGGAGAGCAAGCAAUAGGUGUUCUGACCAAUCUAAAUAUCAUCAAAAACACCUACUGCAGCAACCUUCUUUCAUGAUGAACUAAGACGUCGUCAUACAGAGGAUAGUUUUUCCAAGGAAAGAUGUUAACCAUUUCCUGUCUAUUGAACUCUCGAAACAAUCAAAAUAUAUAUCAAUAGUUACUAUGGAAAACAUUGCAUUUUAUGAGCGACAUAUCACGCUCCUCAUCAAUUGUUGCUAGAAUCCAACCGAAAUUAAUGUCCCACUAAAACAGGUUUAAAGUGCAAACAACUCAAUCACAGUCGGGACACACUUCUUACUCAUCAUUUUACAGUGAAUGACGUCAUGCAUAGGCACAGAAUUAUCCAAAAUAUGCCUUGUACAAAAGGUGACAGAUUCCCAUAUCAACCACAAUAUCCAAAGUAGUUAUUCGCAUUUUCACAGAGUCAUCAGCCUAAUUUAUAACUCUAAUUUACUUUGUGCAGCUAUGUUAUGCAUAACUGAUCCUGAGUAAUCUAAAAACAAGGUGAAGACGUUUGUUUUUUUAAAAAAAUAGGGAUCAGUCAUCUCUUCAGCUACUCUAUUAGGGAUAUACCCAUAAACUGGAGUUAGAGGGCUAAUGAUCAGGCGUAUCCCAUGAAACUCUAUCACUAUUUCAUUGAAUAACGCUAAAGAUCUUGCAGAAGAACGGAAAAGAAUAACGAAAGAAAAACCUAUCCAUCUCAGGAGUUUGGUGCAAUUCACAUGAAAGCCCAAGACUUUGACUUCUGCCAAGAAAGUUACGAGCUGAAAAGUAAAGCAAUCAGUCCCAAAGUGGACACUGCUCUUCUAUAGCAUCUCCAUAUUUCCAUGGCUGAAAUAAAUAUCAAAAAUAUCAUACAACGCUUUAUUGAAUCAUCUAUUGAGUACAUCACCUGACUUUCACCUUUUAUGUUUUUAUUUUUUACUUCUGUGGUGUGUACCACGAUAUCAUUGAAUGAAAAGAAAUAUAUACAAUUGUGCAUGCCAUUAGCUUCUGAAGCUUAUGACCCCAUAAAGCGAAACGGGAAUCAUUCUUUCAGAGGGGAAUUUUUACACCAAAAGGAGUUCACUAAUUUCCUAUGCAAGUCUCUGAAUCAUUAGCUAUGAUAUCUCUAGCUUCCCAAAUUUACUUCCACGUCUUGGAGGGUCUAUAGAUGUUAUUAGGAAUAAAAUCCGAAGCCAAUUCUGUAAUUCAAAUAACAGAAUGGAAAGAACAAUUUUUUUAUAGGACAUCGCCAUUAGAAGGUACCCACCAUGAAUGUAAUUGUUGACUUGAGAACAAUAAUUUUAUUUUAUUUUUUCAUAGAAAAUAGUAGUCAGUUCCUCUAAGAGAAAACUAAUGUUAUUUCCAUGAUAGAAAACACUAUCCAGUGUCUUCUGAAAUAUUCUGGCAGGUCAACAUGAAUUCAAGAUUUUUGUUUUUCGCUGGAAAUUUUUAUUCAAGAUUCAUUACCCUCAAGUUAUGCUAAGUCUCCUUCAUCUAAUAACUAAUUCUUUCUCAAGCUGCAUCAUUGCUGUAGGAACUGCCUGGUCUAACCAACAAGUGAGACUGGGUAGAAUAACCAUAAAUUCGCUUAAUGAUUCCAGUCUCAGCAGAUUGCAGUCAAUGUUGCGCAUACAGACCAAUUUUCUCCAGUAGAUACGUUCUUAAGUAUUCAGGAAGGAAUUCAGAAACAUUUUUCCUUCCAAGUCUGCUAAGCAAUAAGAAUUCCAGGUAUCAUGAAUAAGCCAGCAGCUAGAGUUUACCCUCACCGGCACAAACUUAAAUUUUUGUCAAAAAUGAUGUGACAGAGGAAGUUUCCACGAGGUAGAUUGCAAAGAAAUCACUUUGAAUUCUAAACCACACAAAUUCAAUUAAGAAAAACUCUCAGAAACCAACGGAGAAAAAGAUGCACAAUACGUAAGCAACUUACAGAUAGGUCACAUUUAAGUGAGGAGACAUUUUCUCCCUGGGGCUUUGGCACAUUUUCAAGACAACGAACAACUUGCUGAAAGAGGCCCUUCAAUGGGGUAUCUAGAUCAAGGGCUACCAUUCCCGGUGUACCCAGUAAGAAGCGUAUUCUUCCAGCGCAGGAUGACAAAUAUGACAAUGCGUAUCCUCUUAUGGCUGUUCAAAGGAAAAAGAAUAACAAUUUUAAUUUUAUGUGCAAAAGGUUAGCUCCAGUUAAACAAGGAAAUCAAGGUAACCAUAAAACCUGAAAACGUCCACAAACCAUAGCGACAUGAAAAAAGAAAAUUUAAUAAAACCCAGAAAUAUUCCCAAUCAGAGGAUAAGAAUAGUUGUAAUACACUGAAGGAGAGUCCAUUUCCCAAUUAAAUCAACUAGCUGUUAAGGAACCUCCACGUGAAUAUUUUCAGAAAGCACAUGGACCAAAAUCUCCAAGAAAGGGCAUGACUAUGCAGGAAGCAAUUUCCAUCUAUAAAUGGCAGGAAUCAGCCGCAUCCACCCACACCCCACAUCGACAUGACAAUGCGCUGAAGGAAAACUUUAUAGCCAAAAGGGUGAGAGAAAAAUAACCAAGACCAUCAGCAAAAGGAUACACCAUUCCUGAUCUCAGCAAGCUUCUACGACGGGAUUUUUCUGGAGGUACGGAUUGAAAACUGAUACAACACACGUUUUCUCAUUUUUGUUCUGUUUAUAAUACCUAAAGGCCGUGGGCGAAGUUACUCCAAAGAAAAUUUUCACCAUUUUCAAAAUAAUGAAUGGCAAAAUAUUCCAGAUAUACUCUGUUGGCAACAACAACACCUUAUCAGGGAUUCCUUUGAUCAGAACCUAGUGGUAGUCCUAAACAGAGAAAGGAAAACGUGGAAUGGAGCUUUGAGGAACCUUCUCAAUGGUGCUAUCCUAAUGGGAAUGUAGCUUUGAAGUCACUAAUCCAAUGUGAUUUUAUUUUUCUUUUGAAAGGGACCCCAAUGUGAUUUUCGAACUCCAAUCUCAAAAGAAACAUAACUCACCCAACAAAACUUCCAGGCCCCUUAUCCCCAAUACUUCAAACUUAUGGAUGAAGAAAGCAAGUGCAGUUGACGCCAGAUAUUGGUGGUUAUCCUGCUACUCUUUCUUCCCUUCAUACCAUCAUGCCCUUCAGUCUCUCUGCCAUGCACUGGUAACUGAAACUCUUCAGUGUUUUUUAUACAGGACUAGAAAAAGAACACCCAUCAUGAAACAUCCAACUUCCGGUGCAUUCCAUUUUCUCAAUUUUUUUGAACUUGAAGGAUGCUCAGAGUUGACUCCCAGAACCUAAGAGCAUGCACAAAAAUCAACCAAUUUUCGUAUAAUGGUGUGUCCGCUAGGCUUGUUGUGAAGAUAAGUAGCAAUAACAUAAGCUACAAUUCCUAUUCAACUUCUAGUGGUCUAUUGACACUGAAUGCUUGUAGCAUUAUGAACCUUUCUAACUGUUGUGGAACAUAGGGAGAAAGAUACAAGGAGAGAUAUCAUGUAGUGACACACAAAGAGAAAGAGAGAUACAGAGAGAAAGAGAAAGAGGAACCUCUGUCCCCAAGGACAGAGGGGAGAGCAGUGGAUUGCCAACCUCACACUAUUCUCUCUAACUUAGUUCCUUAUAUAGGGACAAACCCAAACACAUUUCCCAUAAUACCCUUACACAUGCUAACACUAACCAUAAAUUGAAGCUUAUUAAAUCUCAUUGAUAUAACGUCAAAUUAACCUGUUAUCCUACUUUUAGAAUGGCUUAUUGGAUGAGUGAAGCAUGGGAUGGGAUAUUGGACACCCAAACCAAGUAAUCUAUGCCUGGUUUAGUGAGUGGACAAACAAUUUGCCCCCCACCUCUGAGACCAAUCCAGAUUAUUCGUGUUUAAUAAAGGGGUAAUAAGGAUCUUUUAAUUUUUUAACGCUAAUUCAAUAAUAGAAAAACCCUACGAGGCGGCCAAAAUGUUCAGCGGGGUUGUUUCUACUUUCCUGUUCUCUCUUUGCCCUCCAUUCUUCUCAGUUUGUCAUCUAGGUUUUCUUCCUACCUUAAACGUCGUUUUAGAAUAAUAUAGAUUAGGAGCAUGUAACCAGAAUAAAGUCUCCAAAUAAACUUCAGAGUUUCCUGGCAUAAAGUGCAUGCUUAAGAACAUUGCCAAAGUAACAGGUUCCCACAAGAAUGAAAAACAAAAUCUUACCCUGCGAGAUCCAUCAAAUAGCAAAUUAAAGAUAAUCAUGCGAAGUUAAAAGCCAUAGGUUCUGGAAUAAAAUGCAUGGGGCAUAAAAACCCCGUGCAACAUGGACAUCAUUGUAAAACAUAUUCAUUUACCAAUAAAUGAAAACAUCACCUGAAAUAUAUUUCCGCACUAAGCAGCAAAGCCUGUCCAUUCCAUGUAACAAGAAACCAAUUGUUGGGUCUGCUGCAUCCUGCAACCGAAAAUGUCAGAACUAUUGUUGGUAGAACUUCAUAAUUACACAAUUAUCGAAUAUCUCGGCUUUUGUAACUUACAAUGUCAGCAGGUGCCAUCCUGGCUGUUUUAGAUCCUGAAGACGAUAUACUAAUAUGUUGGCAGUACCAAAUGAUUUCAGACUGGGCAAAAGCCAAUGCUGAGAAAACCAUCUGCAUUGAGCAAGUGAACGGUAACGUUUUGCAUACAUAAAAUUUCUAAGUAAUCUGUUACCCAAGGAAUAUUACAGUUCAAGAAAUAUUCUAUGUUACAGAUCACAGAAACGAAGUGAUAAAUUAUGUCUACGAAUGCUGAACAGCAUACUGAACAAGUAUCUUGUACUUGGGACUACCAAGAGUGCAAAUAAAUAGAUGUCAAGUUCUUGGUUUUCAUCAACAUUCAGAACUCAAAUCUAGGGUUCAUUUAUGCAAGUAUUCGGUUCAAAAUAGGUCUUGUUCCAUUUCACCAAAGUAGAACAAAUUUAGGAGGCAUCAGAACAAAAAAUAAGAUAUUUAAAUGAGUAAAUUACUCCUUGGAAUUAAAUGAUCGGAUGUCAACCACAAUGGAAUCAAAUUAUUACACAAAUGAGACAGAUUAAUAGUUUUAGGUAGACUGGUUCCUUCGUCAGACUAGAAGAAGGGCUGGGCUGGCUCCCUGGUCAGAAGAGGAAACGGCAAAACUGAAGCUUAAUUGUUUCCUUUUUCUGACUGGUUUUCAUCUGUACAGACGAAGUUCAACUCUACAUACUAAAGAAAUACUAAAAUCUCAUUACUUAUGAAGGUUUUAGCAAAGACAAUAGGAGAUAGCAUUUUUUCUGACGAUAAUUAUGGAAUAACUUGUAAAAAACCAACGAUGGUACUCGGAGUAUUAAGCCCCAAUAUGUUGAUUGAAAAACCGCUAUCUACCGUAAGAACUCAUAGCAUUCUAAAAUUUUUCAGAAAGAAAUGACACAAUGGCAACAAAUAUUUUCUAUGGAAUGUUCCAUAUGUUAUGUUGACUCGGUUCUUCUCUUCACUUACAUUCUUGUUUUCUCGUAGAGGAAAUCAAAAUAUGGUUUCAGCUAUUAAAUCAAUUAACCUAGUAAAAAACCUGAUGACAGAAAACUAUAUUCGGUUUUUAGACAUUUAAAUGUCAUCGUAUUUUCUGAACCAUGUUUUGAAAUCGGAUGUAAAAUGGUGACUUUACACGGGAAUAUCAAACCUUUUCGAAAACGUGCUUUUACAAGUUCCUCAAACCCAUUUUACUAUUAAUAACCAAAUAAUAUCGGUUACACAAAUGGUCCUAAAAAUCUUAGCCUUUCUAAAAGAAAAAUAUGGGAAAAAAUACCGGAUCGAUUAUAGCAUGAAAUCAAAAUUACACAUGGAAAGAAAGACUUUCGAUCAAUAAUAACUGUUCACCGAGAGCUAUUAGACAACAAAUUGAAAGUAUAUGUUGAAUAAACUAACAAAUCCCUGUAACCCUGUGUGGUAUUGUUAUAAUAUGGUAACUUAAAGCAACUGGCCAAUUAAAGUAGAAUCAUCCAAAGUAAACGUUUACCUGAAUAUUAGGAGCAAGUAAACUAGGCUGGUCGGCAAAAAACAAUACCAUUCUACCAAUCUCUUGCUUUAGUAAUAUUCUUCUCUCAUGAUGUACGGCAACACAUGACACAAGUGCUUGUUCAUGCACCUCACUGGAAAGAUAACAAAGAACAAAAGAGAUCAAUAAAUAUAAAAUGCAAUUGAAUGUCGAACAAAAGUACAGUACACAAAAAAAACAUGAAUUAGAGAAAAUGUAAGAUAACUAAAGAUCCAUGAUAAGGAAAUAUAAUAUAGUAGCAACAAGCAAUUAGCAGGUAAAUUUGCGUCCAUUUAUUUUCCCGCAACAUAUGUGCACUCAUUGCAGACAGCACUAAAACUCACUGACUAGUCAACAAUCUUGGUGUUGACUAUAUAUAAUGGUUAAAAUGAGAGAGUUCUAGAAACUUGCAGAUGUAAUGAUGAUAAAUAUUCAAAAUUCUGCCACUAAUGAAUAGGGACAACUUUUCUUCAAAAACUGGUGACGUGCGUAGCUGCGCACAUUAGAAAUAGCUUUAUUAUUUUCUGGUGUCAGACAACAUGCAAUAGUAGUAGAGCCUUCGAUCACACAGCAAAGAGAGGAGGCACAUGUUUGGAAGAAAUUUAAAACAUAAAAGAUUUACCACUACAAGUUCUACUUGCCCUAAAAGCUUGCAGAGAAAUCUGUAUCAAGCACAGGGAUUCAUGUGCUCAAAGAAAAAUUAACUACUUAUCUCGAUGGGAUCAUGAAACAUUACAUAUAACCUCGAACUUUGCCCAUUAGUCUAAUUUGUCUUCUACAGGAAUAUCUGCUACACUAUUAUAUUAAAACAGGCCCCAGAAAUAUUAAACCGACAUUAAACCAGGAAAAAAUCUGAGAACUCCUUUUCUCAUAUAGCAAUGAAGUGCAAAAGUAAGAGAAAUAAGAUGGCACAAAAUACUUUCCUAUCCUGCCUGAUAGUAAGUUGAGUGCCCUUUAUCUCCAUCCCAUAAUCUCAAGACUUGCUAACAAUGAACAUUUUGACUAUGUUCACUGUGUAAUAUGUAUGCAUUCUUAAGUUACUGUGGGAUUUUCCAAAAGAAAAAUGAUAAGGGCAUCGAUAACAAUUCAGUCCAAAGAGCACAGGAGCAGCACUGAAGUCAACUCUGGAGAAAGUCAACCGGCGGAAUGAAGGUCCACCAAUGGUAAACAGCCAGGUUGGUGAAGCCAAGCCUAAGCCCAGAUACAAGCUCAACCUCAAGAAGAGUGUGAUUAUGGGGCAGGGGUGAAGCACCUCUUAGGGGCCAUAACUACCCUAGACAAUCUAUGAGGCGUCUUACUAGAAAAUUAUACCAACAAACAAUACAUAAUAAUUCUUGCUAUUACCCUAUAGAGGCCACGGGACAUGGGAAGACAGUGAUUUUUACAGAGUUAAAGAAUUAAUUGACGAAAAUAUUAAUUCUCUUCGUUCCCAUCUAAGUCCUUUUCUCUCCACCUCAGCAAUUUGAUCAAUCUCGAUCAAAUCUUUCUCCCCUUCUCUCUCUCUUGUCUUUUCUCUCUUCUUCCUUUCCAGUUCGUCCCUUUAAUCCUCAUUCUGUGAAGAAUCAACAACUGCAAGAAGAUAAUUUCGAAGCAACAUCAAGUCAAAGGCAAAUCAAAUAGCUGCCAAGGUAACGCUACUUUAUCUAACAUCAUUACGAUUUGAUCAUUUGUCUAAGUCCUUGCUCUUUAAUGUCAGAACUCUAGAUAGCCACCAGACGUACUUUGGAUAUCCAAUAUCCACUGACGGAAGAUUUGAUCGGCCUCAUUUAAAGAUUACUUAUCCCUAAUUUAAAGAAAACUCACAAUCUUAUAUUAUCAAAAUUUGUAGGACCCAGUUGUACUUUGAGGAUCUCCUUCGAUUAGAUAGAAUUCACGGGAUCUGCCAGUCUAAUUCUUAUCAUUGCCAAUCAUCGAAAUUUUAAGUUCUGAUUUCUGUCCCCUCGUCCCACAUCAAAAACUCAUGUUUGAAUUAAUCUCAGUGACACAUUAUGGGGGGCCCAGAACAAGAACACCUAACAUAAGGCAAAACAGAAGGGCUCAAACUAGUGUAGCAGCCUUUUCAUCAGUUACAAGAGUACCAUUAAUGAUUUCAAAGUUUGAUUUCUAAGUUCAGUAUCGUUUUCAAAGAAUAUAUUCGUCAUUAACCGAUUCAAAAUUUCUCCAAUUUUUCCUUCAACUGCAUUACUCCAAAUUGAACUGAAAUAUUAACCAACAAACAAAAGUUAGGAUAAAUGCCACCAUUGACCCAAACUCGAGCUCUUGCAGACCUGUUCACCGUGAGAAAAGAAAAUCCGGUGAUUUAGACGGUAUUCAUCCCUUGACUGAUCUAAUCUUUGUUUAUAUCCCACCAAAAAUAGAAUCUGUCCUAUCUAAAUGUUUCCAACUCAUUCUAUCACUCACCUUCUCAAAAUGAACUUCAACAACUAGAUAUAUUUUACUUCUGAUGUCUUUGGUCAUGUAGACAACAUAUUAUUUUCUUUGAUACACAUCCAUAUACAUAUAUAUGUAUGAACAUAAUCCUAUCAAAAAUAUUGGUUUCUUCAACUUUUUGACGUAUAUUUCAUACAGCAGCUCUUGAAUCAGAUAGUAGGCCUGAGAUUCACAAUCUUUCGGCCUCUUCUUUUUGGGGAAUAGAGCAAUGGAGGUGUUGUCGAAAUUUACCUCAAAAAGUUGGAAUUUCGGCCCUUCUUCUUCAAGCCACAAAUCAUUUAUUCCGUUUUCAUGGAAGCAAAAAUUAAAGAAAAAUGAAUACUCCUACACUUCAUUUUCAAACCGUCUUGACAUUAUGUAUGAUAGAUCAAUCGUAUAAAGCAUUUUCUCUUUAUUCUGAAAAUUAUACGGUCGAAUAUUGAUCUAGGAAGCAGAAAUAUAGGAACUUAGGAGUGGAGGGGCAGAACAGAAUGUUGAAGUAAAAAGAAAAAAUAUACCUUUAGCCUCCAGAUGUUAACUUUUAACCUUCUUUUGAAGAGAAUGGGAAAGUCACAGUGGAGGUGGCGACAGGAAGGAGUUAUUUUUCAGCUGUUGCAGUUACCCUUUUUUAUUCUAACUGCCUAGAGCAACAGUGAGAAAAUACAGUCCCUUAAUUAGCCAAAAUCCAGUUAGAAACUCUAUGAUCCAAGCAAGACUCCAAUUUUUUUCAGAUUCCUUUUAUCCUUUAAUGUUAAUUUGGAUAGGGAUUAGCCCACUGAAAUCAGAAUAAGUCUCCUCUGAUUUAAAUUUUAAUCAGAGCCAGCCCAUUCUUCCUACUAUGGCUAUUUGCCAAUGCCGCUACACUCCACUCUUUUCAACCACCAAAAAAUUUCCAGAACCGAAAUAGGGGGAUAACAAAAAAUGGAACUAAUAGCAUAUGGGAAGAAUUUUCUCCGCACAUAAGUCUGUAAGUUUUAACUUUUAUUUUUUUCACUCUCAAGUUAAUCCCCCAGUGUAGUAUGGUACAUAUUAUUAGCAAAACCUAGUCAAAAAUAUCUACUCAAUCGAAACUAGGUGACCAAAUACAGAUUUUAUUUUACUAAUACCAAUAGAAAAAUUGUACGCAUGUUUCAAAGUCCUCUUCAUGCAUCUAAAAAAUCUCCCCAAAGACCAUGGUUUGGCAUAUGCAAUCAAUUUGUCCUGGUGGACAAGAGAGAAUUUUUUUCUCAUGAUAGUGAUCCCGUUUAUAUAGUUUGGCUAAGUCACGUACUUAAAAGAUUUUUAAAGAUAGCAUACAUUUUAAAUAUAUAACAGAAAAGAUUUUAUGAGGUACAACAUCAUCCAUCUGAGCAUUGCAAGCCAUAAUCAAAUAGGUAAGGACUGUCAGCAUUUGAACUCCCCACACAAUACAAGUAACUCAGCAUUGACAUGAGUUAAGCAAAAGAAUGAUUAAGUCAUGUAAUAAAAGAUUCGAAACAAAGCAGAUAGAACAAUCCAUUCAGAGAAGAAAAGGCGCCAGUGACUACUACUAUGCCAAUAAAUUGUCUCUACGCAGCUAAAGUGAUGAACAUACCAUAUCAUUUUCUCAACCUGCUUUGCAACGUUGUAUUCCAGAUCUGCCUCCUUCUGCUUUGUGCGCCCUGAUUUGGCCAUCUUCUUCGAUUCUAAAAUCCUUGGUAAGACAUAGAGCUGGUAUUCUUCAUGCAAAAGUAUGUACUGCGGAUUCAACAAAAAAGGGCAUAAACAUGCAGGAAACGGAAAAAAAAAAUGUAACUCCGUGAAACGAAAUAUUUACCUCAUCCCUGAACAAAGUCAAAAUUAUACUUUCUUUUAAGGCAACCUGAAAAUAAAACACAAGUUAGCAAUAAAAGCCCUAUUGAUGGAAAAAACUUGGAGAAAUAAAUGUCAGAAUUAUAAAUGGCGAAUAAAUGUUCUUCGUAAAUGGCGAAUUACUGCAGAUGUGUUCUUUCAGCUUAGAGAUGGAAGGCAGCCAUUGCCUAGAGAACAUCCAUAAGCAGCAUCCAGGAUAAGUAUAACAAAAAAUAGCAUUUCAUAACAAAAUUAGCGUUUAAAAGAAUUAACAUAUUUAGCAGCAAGGCAAAGUAAUAUAUGUAACAUAGAUAUGUAUGAAUUAAGACCCACUGAGGAGAGGACUCACAGGCCAACAACGGAUAAUGGUUGGAUAAAAAGUAGCACCAUAUGGAUAUAGAAUUCAUCGAAAAACACAGGAUAUGUUAAGAAGAUAGAGAUGAGGAACAUAGAAAUGGAUGGAAGUUCCAAAAUGUAGAAUAAAUUAUCAGCAAAGUAAACUAUCAGCUGCGACACACCAUGGCAAUGUCAAUGCUUGUUACACGUAGCAGUUCAUCAGGGCAAACAAGAUAGCCCAGGAGAACCCAUUCUCGGUAAGAAGUGACAUUCGCUAAGUCUUGUGCCCUCUGCAAGAGAAUGGAAAAUUAAAUUAGGUUGAACAAAGUCAACAAAAAGACAUACAACCCGAAAGAGUGAAUCUGUAAGUAUCACAGAUAGGGGUAUCCAAGAAAGUCAACAUCAGGUAGCAUUUACAGAAAUACUUACCAUAGGAUGAGCAGAGUUUGUCAGUAUAUCAGGAUACCGAGGGUGAAAUGGACUGAGAAAGCCCUCAUUUCUUAACUUCUUUGUGUCAGUUGAGAGAAAUAUGAAGGGGCCAACAGCCUCCAAAACCUGUUUACAAAUCAUAAAGAUUCAUUUCGUUUUAGAUUGACAUAAACAUGAACAUUACCCUUCAGAUCUCACAAACCAAAUUUCCAUUGUCUGUAUUGCCUUAUUUCGAAAUACAAGUUCAGAAUAGUGAAAGAUACUUGCAAAGUUAUACUGCAAAUUAUUCGACAAAAAACAACUUCCAAGACAGGGAAGCAUUUACCAGCCCCAUGUGAGGACCCAAACGGUUGAGCCUAUUACUAGCCCCACUGCCCGGGUUACUUAUGCCUGGAGAAGGUAGGGUAAGUUGUAUGUAGGCCAAAGGACCCAGUAAGAUAGACAUAACAGAACCCUUGGGAGUCCCACUGUUGGGACACCUUUGCAGAAGUCACAAGGAGAGCGAGGCACUCUAGAAUUCGCCUCAGGACACCUAGGGUUUCCUGUGAGUCCCUCUACGCUGUUUCUCCCUUUCCCUUUGCUGUCUCAGAACGCUGUUGUAGUCCCCUUUCUCUGUCUCUCCCCGAGUUACCCCUUAAUUGAAUCAGGGUUUUAUCACCCAACCAUUAGUCUGCUUUGCCGAUGUCAGUGCAUUUCAUGAACGACAACUUCCCCUUUCCCAUUGUGCAAACAAAAUAUACUGUAAUCAAAACAAUAAGUUGGGAAUACAUGCUAGUUGCUAGCAAACAACUUUUCAAAGAAGCAUGCCAGAAAGUAAGAUCUUAAUCAAAGGUCUAUACAAAGAACAAAUUCCUAGCCAUCCAUAGUGAGCUUUGCCAAUGCAUAGUUGUGCUCCAAUUUCUCAUUAUCUACAGAGUAGAAGCAUAUUUCAGCGAAAGUUCUCAAAUACAAUAAACUUUGGGGCGGGAAAUGUAGAGACAAAGACGAUGGAUCUACAAGCCUACAAGUUCCAUUCCUAUAAACGCAUUAAUUCCUGCAAAAAUCAUGGGACAAAUGAAUUGUGGAAUGCAAAAACAUUUUUAUUUGUACAAAGUAUUAAACACAAACUUCCAAUUCAUGCCAGGCUGACCUCAGUUACUGAUAUUGAAAAUAAAAAUACGACAACCAAUAUGAACGAAUAUUUAAAUGCAAAAUAAACUUUCUUUUUCCUUUUGAACAUAACAUUUUUAAUACAUGAUCUGAAUCGGGAUGGUUACUAAUAAAAACAAUAAAACUGUAAUAGGAACAUAAUUCUUAGGGCAUUAAAAGUGAUAGGAAACUGCCUUUUGCCAAAAUGAUAAGGUGUGACACUUGGAAGAAGCCAAGAUGGUGUAGACCACACUCAAAACACAACCACAAAAUCAAGAAAAUAAUCAUUCAAGAAACUCAACAACCUAACCAUUCUAAAGCAUAAACAAUGACUAGCCUCAUUAUUAAGCAACUUUGGCCGAAAAAGUAUAGUUGUUCCUCUCAUCUCAAGUGGCUCAGAAUAAUGAACAUAAGCCACUGUAAUAACAUACAUUGUUUCUAGUCAUAUUUCAUACAGGAUGAACUAACUUGUUAUCUUGUCUAUUUUUUAUUCGCAUCUCACUAUUUUAUUAUUUAUCAUUUAUUUAAGGCUCCUUGAUGGAUUAGUCCUUAAGAGUCAUUUGAUUAUAGAUCCUCCCUACCGAUCAAAGUUGGUAUUGAUUACAACCUUCCAACGAAAGAGUACACUUAAUUAUUAUUGUCAUGCAGAACAAGCCUUCCAUAUAAGGAUUUCCUUUUAUUUUUCUUUUUCUAUUCUAUUUUUAGAUGUAUUCCUCUUUUCCGUGUUUCUGUUAUUAACCUUUCUGUAAAUAGCGGAAAGGUUGUUAGACACCAAUAUAAAUACUGGCGUACUGCCCUGAGAAGGGUUAGGUCAGUUUUUACUUUUUCUUGCUUCCGCCAUAUCUUGAAACAAUUAUCAUAAAAAUAAUGCCACAAAAUAAGCAAAAUUUAACUUCAACUUCAUAGUGAACAUGAACAAAUUUGGUAUAAAGUGAAAGAUGUUCAUUAUCUAAAAGAUAUAAAACCAUUAGCUAAAUUAGCAGAAGCUAACUAAUAGGCUAUAAGAUUAAGCCCCUUAACCAGUUUCUAUGCCAAAGCCCACUAUAGUCUAUGAGAUGAAACCCAUUUGUGAAUUUUAGGACCACAAACCUUAAUAAUUUAUAGACUAAAACUAUUCGACAUUUUCGGGCAAAACCUAGCCAGACGGUUUGUAUAAGUCAUUUUACAACUUUUGGGAUAAAAGUUCGCUGGCUAGUCUAUGUGAUGAAACCCCUUUGGGACUAGAGCCUAUUAAAUAGUAUAUGAGGUCAAACUCACCUGACCAUGUUUUGAACCAAAGUUCAUUCAACAAUUUAAUCAAGAUCCCACAGGGUCAUAUGAGUUCAUCAAGAUCCUAAAGGGAUGAAGCUCAUUUGGAAAAGCUUAUCCAGUUAUAAAUGUUUUUCAAGAUCCCUUAGGGUCAUAUGAGCUCAUCAAUAUAGGUUAUCUGGACCCUCAGUUUCAGAUCACUCGGGGUGAAGCCUACAUUAGAUUGACAAGGUCAUUAUCACAGAGAUUGACCAUUGGGAAAAAGGCUGACAUUAGGUCACUGAUGUUACUACUAUUAAGUCAAGUCACUGCGUAUGAAGUUCACAUUAGAUUGACAAAGAUGAGCUGAGCUUGCGUAUCUUUUCGUCAGGUAAGGUCUCCCUGACCUUCCUUUCCAAAGCAUCUCUCUUCCUCUUCUCUAUUUUAUAGUACACAUUCUUCUGCCUAGGCCUAUUCCUCCUCUCUCUCUAUAUUCUCUCCAUCCUUUCCCAAUACUUAUUUAUUUUUACAGAAUGCGGACCCCUUUAUACACAGGUCAUGGGGCGCCUAAAGGACGGAAAUGCCCCCAAACAUCAUGAAUACGUUGGGACACAGUGAUCUUCUGCCAUAUCUUUAUAGUAACACCCUCAAGUGUUACUAUCUUUUUGAGAGUAAGCAUGUCUUUCAACAGACACUUCAAAUGAGGUGUUGGCAUGGAAGUGACAAUCUUAUUUCAUCCUUCAAGCAAUUAAGCACGGUGAUAAUCCUGUCUCCCCAAUGGAGAUUUUACGUUCUUGAUAGCAGUUUUUUGAGGGUUGGGGGUCACUGGCGCAGAGGUGUCCUCUCCACUCCUAUUUCGUGUGGCAAUCACCUUGGAAGCAAUACCAAGCAUUCUACAGAAUCAAUUGUAGUAGGUCCUGAUACAGAAUAAAAAGAAAAAAGAGCCCAUCAACCACAUCUGACAACUGCAUUGCAUAUUUUCUCCCACAUUUGAGAUCAUUCAGGAUAAUAGUGAACUUUCAACACUUUCAUAUCCAUCUCCACGUAUCUCUCUUACCCAUACAUUAAGCUUUUGUUCACCACUAGUGUCCAGUAGUAGGAUUCCAGCCCCUCUCACAUCUCUGGAGUUAGAUAUCCUAAUCACUGUAGCAUGAGUAUCCAACACAGUGAUGGAAACAUAUUUUCUAGGGACAGAGGGUUACACUAUUUCUUUCCAAAUAUUAUGUAUCCAUCCCCAAAACAGCUCAAACCCAAGCAUCAUAACAUUACAUACUUCAAAAAUGUCACAAAGUUUUAAGACAUCAGAGAGAUAUUCGAUAAUAACAUUGAGGAAACAACUGGAAUACCAUCUUAUAACGAGCCAAAAGCAUAACCAGAAGAAUGAGAUAGGUCUCUGACGGAGUGCUUAUGAGAAGAUCAUUAAAAACGUUUACUGAAAUAGAUUGCAUGAAAAUAAGUAUAUAGCAAAUAGCAGACCUCUCCAAUACGGGGACUGACAAAAUUAAGAUCCUCCUGUAGACCUUUUACUGGCGGAUCAUAUGAAUCAACGAACUGAACCAACCUGCAAUCCAAGAGGAAAAAAAAAUAUACACAAAUUUCAGACCAAAGAACUGUAAAUUUGGUCAUAAAAGCUAUAUCAAGGAUACAAAUUUAAUCCAUGAAUGUGAUACGACCCCAUCAUCACAUAUGUAAGAAGAAAGAAUAGAAGAAAGAGAACAGACUAUGAAAAACAGCGCAGAUGGCCCAGUUGAAAUCAUAAAAAGAAGCAAAGGACGGUUCAGAUCAAGUCAGAGGACAUAUAUAAGUCGGAGAUUCAACCAAAAGAGGCGCAAAGAGCCAAGUGAAAGGUGAGGAGGGGAUCCUCUCAAACUAGUCGCCACCAUUUUCCCGUUUACCUAUUUCAUGUUCCCAAUUGCUCUGUCUUUUCCAAUAAUAUCAUCGAUUCGAUUCUUUCAAGAAUCAUUUCAAUCAGGUCCUGUUUCAAAAAAAUCGCAACAGAUCUUUCCAAGAAUCGUUCCAAUUGAACCAUACUUGAAGGGGUCGUACCACAGUGUUGUUCCAUUAGAUCAAAAGAACAUUUUCACGUAUUUAAUUCAUAUACCAUCAACUCACAUUGGGAAACUAAAACGCAUAGGAAUGUGUGUAGAAAGGCACACAUCCGAACUUCAUUAAGCUAAAUUACACUGGGAUACAUGAGCAGCAACGCAUCAUUUUCAUUUUCAACUAUCAUUCUCGUCUUUUAUAAUUUUUAUGAGAAAUGAUGAAAAACCAUCAUGCAUAACUAAUUAUAUCUGUACACGCACAUAAAUAAAAAGAUGCGAAAUUUGUUCCUAAGAAUAAGUAAAAUUAUAAACAUGCAAAACUACGUAUAUCCUUGUAUCAUGGGGGUUACAUCACAUAAUCACGCACUAUUUGCCUCAAAGAAAACACUUUCGUUCUCGUUAAGUAAUAUGGUUAGUAUAGGAUACAACUAGACAGAACCUUACAAGUCCACACAGCUUCAUUACCAAUCCGAUUUUCCACCGAAAACAAUCAAUUCCGCAGCAGUCCAGAAGCUUCUUUACCCUCCAAUCGCCAAAGAAUGAAGUUACCACGAGUCAAGGAAUCAUUCUCCGCCCCUUUUUCCCAAUUUCCUUAAGUCAGGAUACUACUGACAUGGGGCAUAUCAUCAGAGGGGCAGCCCCAUAGCAUGUCUUCACUAAUCAGAUGAUCCGCAGCAUCAAGAAGGCCAACUAGGAGAGAAUGAGUUCUCCUCCUGGCUGGAAUUGAUUGUGGCUUCACCUCUUUCCCAAUAGAAUUAAUAAAAAAAUAGUGCGCUGGCAUUAACAGUAUGCUUAAUUUCCAGAUAUUAUCGAUCAGGAAUUUCAGGUAAAACACCAGAAAAUCAGUAUAUAUACCCAACCCCAUCUUUCAAAUCAAUGUUACCAAAUUAGGUGUUUCAAGUACGACUCCACAAAUGGGCCACUUGGGCAGCUGUGUACCCGAAACUCAAUGUAACCACUCCCCAAGAGUGAAUGCUUAUCGGGCCAAAUAGGCCACUUGGGCAGCUGUGUACCCGAAACUCACAGAGUACCCUCUUCAUGAUCAAUUCCACCAGUAACAGCAUUUUUAAUCUCUAACUACAGAGAGAGUAGCAUUGAAACAUAUUAUAUUGGUGGCCAAUAUGUUAACUUUUUCCAAAUAGAAAUUUUUGAAGCUCCUCUUCCCUCCAAAGGUGAGAGAGAAUAAAGAAAGCUCGUAGAGGUAGAUGGGUUUUUAACCAAGUUAGUUUUUUUUGAUAUGUUAGUUUGAUAUGUGAUAUUUUUUUCAUUUGCAGGUUUAAUCAUGUUAUUGCAAGAAAAAACCUAGCUCAAAAAAGGAACGGUAAAUAUGAUAGAUGUAAAAAUAGUCUUCCUCCUUUUACUGCUAUUAAGGCUAGAUUAUUAUCUCGAUGAUAAACUCAACUAAGUUUACUGCGGAUUAAUAAAAUAUGCAAAGAGCAUCUGUCUGGGUCAAAGAGAAGCUUGGCCACGAAACUCAAACAUACUAAUAAAAUAGUCUGUACGAAUGUAGGUGGAAUAAUAAUAGACAAGAAGUCCAAUCGGAAAUUUGGAAUUUCAGGGCGUUGAAAAUUUAAAAAAAAACUAAUUUUAGAACUAAAAUUUGCCUAAGCACCUCACCUUGCCACUUUGGUGUCAGAUAGUGGAUUAUCACCUUUGUCACCUUAAAACCCUAUGCAAAAUAGCGGCAUAUAGUUCUUUAAAGUUUCACAGUAAAAGGAGAUAAACAUAAUUUCUUGGGCAAAUAUAUCUUCAUAAAAAAAACUAAGGCACUCAUCAAGCUAUGUAUAGUCAGUAUACUUGCUGUCAUUAUUCAUUCGCAUGUCCUUUCUACUAAAUGAAAGGAUGAAGGAAAGCUUGAGGGAAAAAAUCAUAACACUGCAAUAAAAUGCAUGUAAUGUAAACAAAGUUUCAAGGUAAACAAAAGGUUUAAGCAACAAGUUAAUUUGCACGACAAUGUAAUUAAUUUGAAAGGAAAAUCCAACCUGUGGUAAAACUCAAAGUCUCGACCACUUCUUGACAUGCUAUGCAAAAGGUUAUACAUUUGGAUUAACAUUUUCCUUGGGAUCUGUAGGCAGAAUCAUAAGCGUUAUAUUUGAUAGAUAAUGCAUUAAAAAAGAGAAGUACUUGUUCAACAAGAAACUCUUCAGAAGAAAAUUUCAAGAAACAUUUGAAAAUAGAAAAUCUGGAAAAACGGCAUAUGAAGAAACACUUGCCUUAAUCGAAAAUAGAUUUACUCGAACAAAGGAGCAAAAGAGAUCCAUAAACGCAUGGAGGAUCAAAGAAUUCUGAUGGGGCUGAAAAAACAGAUCAAAUUGCCUUCAUGUAACAGUUAAUAAAAUUUAAAUGCAUCACUAUAUAAACUAAGGUAAGCCAUGUCCUCAUAUCUGAUUCACGUAUAAUUCACCAUAUGCAUAACAUAUCAUACUGAUGAGGGAAAAUAACUAACCAGUAGCGUGAUAACAGUACUACUUAAGUCCAAAAUGAGCCGCAAAGCUUGUUCCCGAAAUGCCAUCAAAUCAAGAAGAAACUGAAUUCAAUCAAAGAUCAUCAUUAGCUUACGACAACAUGAAAGUCAAAUAAUUGUUUUCGUACUUACAUAAUUAACAUACAUAAAAGGAAAUUAACAAUAAAAUUUCAACGAACAUAUAAAAGAUGUAUUAGAUUCACUCACAGAAGCACAUGAACAUGAUUCUACAAUCGUUCUUAAUUACAUUAGCUGUCCUAAGAGGUAUGGACUACAAUCAACAAUUAAAUUUUCAUCAUCCUCUUUUGGGAGGGAACCUAGACAAGAAAGUUUUUCCUUCGAAUUUUUAUCCAGCCCCCAUCAUUCAGCAUUUAAAUCUUCCUAGAUAUAUUAAGAAUGCAGAAGAAAUUACAUUAAUACCUGUGAUCAGUUUUUUUGUCUAUGGUUAAAAUGACUGGAUUGCAGGAAGUUGAGUGCAAAUCAUCAGCAAUGUGUGAACGUUCUUAUUCUUCCAGUUACAGCCUAUAGGGUCACUGGCAGCAAUCAUUCCCAGUCACCAGCAACCACCAACCCAUAAACAGCAGCUCUGGUGUUUAUAAGAUUUCCCUGUCCAAAAUAAAUUUACCCUGGGCAAUCCCAAGAAAAAUCAGGACUUGCCAAUACUGUGUAAACAUGGCCUGGUUAGUGAUGAAGCUUCCAGAUGCGGACAUGCUGAGAAACUUCCCUCCUGCCUUGAACACUGACUCUACAUUAUGAUCCUACAGUCGACCCUCAUCUACGAUGUUGUCCCCCUUUUUUUACGAAGUAAAUCCAUUCGUUUUCUCUUACCGCAUCCAAAACACAUAUUUGCAGGCCAGUAGAUCACUUAAAUCGAGCAAAUUAAUAUCUAGAAACUUUAGAAUUAAGUGCUCUCAAGUCUGAGGACAAAGCUCAUGAGAUAUAAUCCAAAGUAGUUCUUGGAAAACCCUCAGUAUUUGACUUACGCAGUGACGACCAUCGACUUUCAGAGAGCCUGAUAUAUGAGGACCUGGAUGCAAUACUCUGACUACAUGAACGACGGUUUGCAUUCCUAAUUUUGCCCCCAAUAUUCACAGAACCAUUGUCUACCAGGGACUUUAUUCGUGGAAUUCAUAGGAUAAAUUUUUUUUUCCAUAUAGCCUAGCAUUAGUUACAAAAUCACACCCUCAACUCAAUUAACAUUGUAGAAAGAUGCACGUAAAAUUACAAACUUAUCAAUUUUCUGCACAUUGGACAUGGGGAUGGCCCAUUACAUUAAAUGGAAUGCCAACUUUGACUCUAGUGAACAUGACACAGGGAAUAUGCACGAGGUCAAUAAAUGUUUUGUGCCCUGUGAAAAAAUACCACUUCAAUGAAUGAAGUAGCAUUGUGUAAUCCAUUAUUACUAGUAGAUUACUGUCAUGGGGACAUUAAGACGAAAGCACAAUGAAGCUUUCAAAUAAUUCCCUAAUUAUGUUCCUACUUUUUCUGGCAUUAAAAUUACAACUUGUUCAAGUACAGACCACCCUUCCAAUUCAGUCUAGAAGACAGGAGAGGACAUUGAACAGCUAUAAGUGGUACUACAACUAUGAGAUUAAUGAUUUACCAACUUCUCUUGAUAAAAGACGUCAAUGACAUUUUCAGAUAGCAUUCAUUGGUUUGAUGCACCUUUGGCAAAAGGAAUCCCACAAUGAACACUAGUGAGUCCUGAGCAAUGUGGUAAGGAUAUUUUCAAAACAUUGUGUACAUAGCAAGGUUACUAUCAGUAAACCGAAAAUGGCAUCAAUGCAUUGUACAGAAAAAACCCAAAAUUUUUGAAAACUUUAAGUUCACACACGUACAACAUAUGCCAAGUUAACCAUCAGUAUGAAAAGAAAGCAACACAAGAAAGUCCGGACAAUGGAAAACAGCAUCAAACUUUCUUCUGAGACAAUUUUGCAGGGACAAGGUGAGGUUAGUAGCACAAACCAUAACCCACGGUUCUAGAUUCUGCAAAUAGACUUCAGCAUUUUCACUGAGAGAGUCGAAUGCAACCUUGUCAACCUGCAUGACAAAACAUGUAAAAAUAGGGAGAGGCAGGAAAUUCUCACAAGCUGAAGACACUAACCCGUUCUAGUUGCAAUUUACUAGGAUGCUCCGGAAACUUCUUUGACAUCAGUGUACAGAUUCUUGGGUAGUUAGGAAGGAUCCCCGCUUUCCAAAAAGAUUCUGAAAAUGUAUGCGAGGCCAAAUCCGGACAGUCAAGUUGUUUGUUCAAUCGGUACAUUUUAGUCAAUAGGCCUUCAGCAACCAUGGACAUUUGAACAACCCGUUCCAUAUGAAGAGCCUUUUGAGAGUAUGCCGAACUUGGCUGUACAUCAAAAGCUCUAUGCUUCCAGCUGUUAGAUGUCGAAGGAGAAGAACCUUCAGGAGGCAGAUACUCAGACCACCUUGACAUGCUAUCCCACUCUCUGGACUUUGUAGAGUUUGGAGAAGUCUCCUGAUUAGAAAAUUGUGAUCUGGACCUCGCCAUGGGUGAGAGACUCUGUUGAUGCACAUGAUUCAUCAGAGAAAGUGAUCAUGUAGCUUCAAAACUGAUACACCAACAGAAAUAAAUAUUAAACCGAAUAUAAACACGAGGUUUUUUGUCACGCAAGAAUAUAUUAAAGGAAAUUAAUUGUUCCAAGGCCAUGAGGAUGAUUCUUUCCAUUAUCCAUACGUUAUUGUAGAGUACGCACAAGAUUCUUAACCGAAAAAUUCAUGGUUUCAUUCCAUUCUCAAGAAUAAAUUUAUCGCUUCUUAAGCGCUAAUAGCAUAUACCCAUGAAAGUUUCCAUCAAAGGCAAGAAGAAAAAAAAUUAACCCGUAAAUGGAGUUUUUUGGUAGUACUCACGAAUCAUGGGAUCUUUGUAUGGCGGAAAUUACACAAAAAAUGGAUAUUAUUAACCCCACUUGCCAUUUAAAACCCACAAGAAGAAAUUAAGUUAAGUAAUAUCUGAAGUGGUUCAGAUGACUCUCUAUUUCUGUAAGAAAACCCAAAAGGAGGAACUGACGAACAUUGGAGAUUGUGACCUAAUGCUACAGAUGAUCACUCGUCUGAACACUACUCACGCGGCAGGGACAAUAAAAAAUAAUGCCAAAACUUUGCUGACGCAAGGGGAUGAAAUCCGCUGUCACUUUUCAGGCGUUGCUUAGACGCACUGCAGAGGAAACCAACUUCUUAUAGCUCCCAACUAUAUGGCAGCCUUCUCCCGACUUCAAUGAAGGCGACCCUGUUAUGAGCAAUUCACAAAUUCAUAAACCUCCAAUAGACAAGACGCAAGAAGCUGCAAAAUCCUCAUUCGUCUUCCUUUGGCCCGUGCAGCAUCGGAUCCCCAAAGAUGAAGAAACUGUCCGCCACAAGUCACCACUAUUAUUAUCACCCCACCAGAUGCACUGACUGUGACGAAAGGGGAACCCCACCCAAACGAGAAAGGAAGAUGGGGGCAGUAAUUGACCGAAGGGAGGUACAUUACGUUCGGCGGCUCCCCAAACCAUCCACUGUGGCUCAAUCACAAAGAGAAACUGUCCGCACAACAACGGAUCUCAUCCCGAGAAAAUCCCGGGAAAGGGCAGUACCUGCAGGAGCACAAGCCUCGGACCAGGACGAAGAGGAGACGAAGAACGGACGCCGCUCCAAGCUGGCGGUGGAGAGGGAGAUCAGGAGGGGCAGGUGCAACUGAGAUCCAGUUCCCCCUCACGGUAGGACGCUGGGCUCUCGGAGGGAGCCGUUGCAGAGCGUUGAUGGUUCAUUCACCAUGCGUUAGGCACUAUUUACUCUCUCUCUCUCUCUCUCUCUCUCUCUCUCUCCCCCUCUUUCUCUCUCUAGCUGACGUGCGCAUCUGAGUCGUAGUGGACCCGCGGUCUUCGCAAGCGGCCCACCAAAACGAGGAUUCCAUUGUGCGACCAGACGUACAUAACGCCUCCACCAUUCAGAUGCUUACACGUCACUGAGAAGUCAAAACUCUUUCGCCACGUGGACCCCUUUGUCUGCCACGUCUACCCCUCCACUGCCUUGCCAGCUGGGUCAUAACCUUGGAUCAUCGCAGCAGCCUACCUUCUGAAGCCCCCGCUCUCUCAGGCUUAAAAUAACCUCAAACUUAGAGAUAAAUCCCAAAGAAUACUAAUUAUGAUAUGUAUAUAUGACGUCAUUGGUGCGUUAAUUCCCCCUCAAAAAGUCCCGAAUUUUGGUUAUUUUGACCAAAAUUUUCCUCAAGGGAAUAAUUAUAAUUUUUUUAUUUACUCGAGGGGUUGAUAUUCCAUAUUUUCACUAAAAUCUACGGAUCGACGAAGGCGGGCCACGUGGAGGCGUCCUCGCUCUCCGAUCGGCGAUGGACGGGGCCAGUGCCGAGCUAUUCUCAGUCCGACGAGCUGAAAUGAACCGAGGUAUCUAGAUCUUGCCCUGUUUUUAGGAUAGGAAUUGUGUACGAUGAUACCUCCGAUGAUCCUCGUGUUUUCUUCAAUAUCUUCCUGGGAAAAGAGAAAUCCGCAGGCGAAGGAGGAUCAGAUCGAGCAUCGCGAGGUUGACGAAGAUCAAAUCAGGUCGGAGAAUUAUCCGCAAAAAAUAUAGAAAUUGUGAGGAUGACAGAGGGUAUGAUAUUGUUUUGGUCGAUGAUGGUCGCGUGGAGAUCCUCCUGAGGGGAUUUGGGAGUUGGAAGCGUCCUGCGGAGGAACGUUUUGGAGAGAAAAUUCCUCAUCUCUUCGUCUCCAUGGCGGUCGCGCCUCUCUCCUUUCCUCUCACGGCCGCCACCUGCCGUUCAGGUUGCGCUGCCUCAGAGGCCCGGUUCUUCUUUCCAAUGCGUCGCCGGCGGAGGUGGCUCCGCUCUCGAUCCCCUUCCUUCGUCCCCGCCGUGAGGGCUCUCAGGGAAUGGCGCGAGUACGAAGACGCCGUCAAGGAGAAAGACCUCGCGCGGGCGCUACGCUUCUUGAAAUCCUCGGAGACCCUCCCGCUCCAGCCCCUCCCUCGUUCCGAGUCUGGAUCAUCAUCCUCGUCUCCGUCGGUGUCCUAUCCGCCUGACCUGCUUGCGUGGCCCGAGAAGGACUGGGAUGUGCUUGACACCUGCCUCAAUGCAGACGACAUGAGGCUUGUCGGCAUGGCCUACUCCCUUCUGCAGGACCGGGGACUGCUGGCCAAUUUUGGAAAGUGCAAGACUAUUGGUAUUGGACUACAACCUUGAUGAGACUAUGGUUCCUGGUUGGGAACCCGAUGAAUUUGAUGAUAUACGUCCAUCACUCUUGCUCUUUACCUACUUUUCCUGGCAUUCGAUGUUGGCUUGCAAAGUUUCUUGAAAAUUCUAAGUGCGGUCAUUUUAUGUGUUUUCAAGCCUAAAUGCGUGAUUUGGGACUUCACACUGAGAUAUGUACUCUGGAAUAAGCACUUUGAAUCUGGGGGAUAUGUAUUUGUCAAAUGAAUUCAGUGUCAAACUUUUGAGCCUCGAAUUAUCCUGAGACAUUUUUGGUGUAAUUAGCUAUGUCACUGGGUUUCAUUUUCCACCUGGUGAUUCUUCAGUAGAAGUCUUAAAAUGGGAGUUCAUCUUAUUUUACCACAAAUUCCGCUCAAGUUUUACAACUAUCUUAUAAUAUGGAUAUUUAUGAAGCUGAUGUAUUUCCUGAAGAAGUCCAAAAUCUUUUCAUAGCUUUGUGUCACUUGAGGAAAGUAAAACUUUCAGAGUUAUGUUGAUUGUUCCAGCUUUCCAAGUAGUGUUUCCUCUAGGCUUUGAUACAUUUCCUGUCAGCAUCAGAAAGUGAUAGUUGUGCAAUGUUUCCAUAAAUGUACUGUGUAUGCGAAGAGUUCUGAGUGUCUUGUCCUUCAGACUAUGAGAAAGGAUUUUGGAAAAGAUACCAGAAUGGCAUCAUUAGUUUACUGUGUCAUGUUUCUGGUUCUAUAUUCACUAGUGGGAGCCAUCAGACUGUAGGAUUGUGUUUCUUCUUUGAACUUCUGUGGUUCUAGUGAAUUGGAUUACUGUGCUGUUCCCAUAUUUUCAAUCCUUUUGUUCCUUUGUUUUUCUCCAUACAGUCUUACAUUAGGUUUCUUGGCAAUUAUUUGUCGCUCCCUUUGUGUACCUAAACUGAUUGAAUUGGCCAUUAGUUUUCCUGGUUCUGUUUAUAAUAUAAUUUAUCAAGUUUUCGUUAAUAUACUGCCGGAAAAUUCGUUGAAUUCGUUUGUUUAUGGUGUGACUAGGUUGAAAUGUCUCUUGUAUUUAUUAUCUUUCUCAAUUUGAAUUAGUUUUGAUUUCUAUUUUUAAAGUUUUACCUAAAUUUCCUUUUCAUUGUUUGCAGUUUUGGAAGGACCAAGGGAAGUCACUCCGACUGCAUUGAAAGAAUCGACUGGAUUGGAAGGUUAAUUUCCAAAAGUUAAAUAAUUUGCUUGGGUUAUUUUUUAGAAAAUCUGCUGGUCAAUAUGCAGUUGUUCUUAAUUCAAUAUAGUGACCUUAUCUGUCUGAAUUCUUUUUCGUCACUCUUAUUCAUCAUCUCCCGAGCUCGUCAUGCUAAGCUAUCAAUUUCUUCUUGCAGCCUAUAAGUUUGCGCCAAAGAAGUGGGGUCUUUCUGGGAGCUCAAGAACUUUGUUGAUUGCUUCCCUGGCAGGGACGUCUUUUCUGGUUUACCAAGGGAUUGAUAUAAGGCCUAACCUGGCAGCUGUUUUGGCUUUGGUGGGGUUAGAUGCAAUUUUUCUUGGUGGCAGCUGCCUUGCACAGAUUUUCUGCUUUUGGCCUCCAUACAGACGUAGAGUCCUAGUUCAUGAAGCCGGACAUCUGCUUGCUGGUAAUUCGCUAAAGAUAGUGCUCUCGAUCUGUGACGACAAGUUGCAUUAUUCAAAUUAGACUUUGGUAUCUGACCUUAUGAAUUCCUAUAUGUGAUAACGUUGAAAAGGCAGUACCAUGUUUGAUGGAGAUUUUGAAACGAGAUUCAGAGUUUUUACUUUUACUUACUGUCUUGAGGAACUUGCUGCAUAAAAGUAGUCCCCUGAAUGCUUGCAUCAUUCCUAUGGUACAAACUUCAUCCAUAAUUUUUUAUUCCGCAUUAGUGAUGCGGUGUUGACUUUUAUGCAAUUCAUUUAUUUCUACGCAAUUUCCGAAAGUGGGAAUUAGAGAGCUAUUUUCAGUUCUCCAUUUUUCUGUCUGUGACUUGCACUACUUACCGUUGCACUGUCUCGUAAACAUGCAGCAUACCUUAUGGGUUGU
rnacentral:lncRNA from 1 species